UACGGAGGGUGCGAGCGUUAAUCGGAAUUACUGGGCGUAAAGCGCGCGUAGGUGGCUUGAUAAGCCGGUUGUGAAAGCCCCGGGCUCAACCUGGGAACUGCAUCCGAAACUGGCAGGCUAGAGUCUUUUAGAGGGGGGUAGAAUUCCAGGUGUAGCGGUGAAAUGCGUAGAUAUAGGAAGGAAUACCAGUGGCGAAGGCGGCCUUCUGGUCUGACACUGACGCUGAGGUGCGAAAGCGUGGGUAGCAAACAGG
rnacentral:misc_RNA from 1 species